UACGAAGGGGGCUAGCGUUGUUCGGAAUUACUGGGCGUAAAGCGCACGUAGGCGGAUAUUUAAGUCAGGGGUGAAAUCCCAGAGCUCAACUCUGGAACUGCCUUUGAUACUGGGUAUCUCGAGUAUGGAAGAGGUGAGUGGAAUUCCGAGUGUAGAGGUGAAAUUCGUAGAUAUUCGGAGGAACACCAGUGGCGAAGGCGGCGUCCUGGCCUGCGACUGACGCUGUGGCGCGAAAGCGUGGGGAGCAAACAGG
rnacentral:rRNA from 1 species